rnacentral:rRNA from 1 species
CCUACGGGAGGCAGCAGUGGGGAAUAUUGGACAAUGGGCGAAAGCCUGAUCCAGCAAUGCCGCGUGAGUGAUGAAGGCCCUAGGGUUGUAAAGCUCUUUUACCAGGGAUGAUAAUGACAGUACCUGGAGAAUAAGCUCCGGCUAACUCCGUGCCAGCAGCCGCGGUAAUACGGAGGGAGCUAGCGUUGUUCGGAUAUACUGGGCGUAAAGCGCACGUAGGCGGCGCCGCAAGUCAGGGGUGAAAUCCCGGGGCUCAACCCCGGAACUGCCCUUGAAACUGCAGUGCUAGAAUCCUGGAGAGGCGAGUGGAAUUCCGAGUGUAGAGGUGAAAUUCGUAGAUAUUCGGAAGAACACCAGUGGCGAAGGCGACUCGCUGGACAGGUAUUGACGCUGAGGUGCGAAAGCGUGGGGAGCAAACAGGAUUAGAUACCCUUGUAGUC